rnacentral:rRNA from 1 species
AUUGAACGCUGGCGGCAGGCCUAACACAUGCAAGUCGAGCGAGCGGCGGACGGGUGAGUAAUGUCUGGGAAACUGCCUGAUGGAGGGGGAUAACUACUGGAAACGGUAGCUAAUACCGCAUACCAUCAGAUGUGCCCAGAUGGGAUUAGCUUGUAGGUGGGGUAACGGCUCACCUAGGCGACGAUCCCUAGCUGGUCUGAGAGGAUGAUCAGCCACACUGGGACUGAGACACGGGCCAGACUCCUACGGGAGGCAGCAGUGGGGAAUAUUGCACAAUGGGCGCAAGCCUGAUGCAGCCAUGCCGCGUGUGUGAAGAAGGCCUUCGGGUUGUAAAGUACUUUCAGUGGGGAGGCGUUACUGACAGAAGAAGCACCGGCUAACUCCGUGCCAGCAGCCGCGGUAAUAC